GACGAACGCUGGCGGCGUGCUUAACACAUGCAAGUCGUACGGUAAGGCCCUUUCGGGGGUACACGAGUGGCGCACGGGUGAGUAACACGUGAGUAACCUGCCCACAACUUUGGGAUAACGCUAGGAAACUGGUGCUAAUACUGGAUAUGUGCUCCUGCUGCAUGGUGGGGGUUGGAAAGCUCCGGCGGUUGUGGAUGGACUCGCGGCCUAUCAGCUUGUUGGUGGGGUAGUGGCCUACCAAGGCGGCGACGGGUAGCCGGCCUGAGAGGGUGACCGGCCACAUUGGGACUGAGAUACGGCCCAGACUCCUACGGGAGGCAGCAGUGGGGAAUAUUGCACAAUGGGCGCAAGCCUGAUGCAGCAACGCCGCGGGCGGGAUGACGGCCUUCGGGUUGGAAACCGCUUUCAGCAGGGACGAAGCUUUUUGUGACGGUACCUGCAGAAGAAGCACCGGCUAACUACGUG
rnacentral:rRNA from 1 species